rnacentral:SRP_RNA from 1 species
GCUGGGCAUGGUGGCACGCACCUGUAGUCCCAGCUACUCGGGAGGCUGAGGCUGGAGGAUGGCUUGAGUCCAGGAGUUCACUACGCCGAUCGCACUAAGUGUUUGCACUAAGUUUGGCAUCAAUAUGGUGACCUCCUGGGAGCAGGAGACCACCAGGUUGCCUAAGGAGGGGUGAACCAGCCCAGGUCAGAAACGGAGCAGGUCAAAACUCCCAUGCUGAUCAGUAGUGGGAUCAUGCCUGUGAAUAGCCACUGCACUCUAGCCUGGGCAACAUAGUGAGACCCCAUCUCU